rnacentral:rRNA from 1 species
CCUACGGGUGGCAGCAGUGGGGAAUAUUGGACAAUGGGGGCAACCCUGAUCCAGCCAUGCCGCGUGUGUGAAGAAGGCCCUCGGGUUGUAAAGCACUUUCAGUGAGGAAGAACGCCUGGUGGUUAAUACCCAUCAGGAAAGACAUCACUCACAGAAGAAGCACCGGCUAACUCCGUGCCAGCAGCCGCGGUAAUACGGAGGGUGCGAGCGUUAAUCGGAAUUACUGGGCGUAAAGCGCGCGUAGGUGGCUUGAUAAGCCGGUUGUGAAAGCCCCGGGCUCAACCUGGGAACGGCAUCCGGAACUGUCCAGCUAGAGUGCAGGAGAGGAAGGUAGAAUUCCCGGUGUAGCGGUGAAAUGCGUAGAGAUCGGGAGGAAUACCAGUGGCGAAGGCGGCCUUCUGGACUGACACUGACACUGAGGUGCGAAAGCGUGGGUAGCAAACAGGAAUAGAUACCCGUGUAGUC